rnacentral:rRNA from 1 species
UACGUAGGGUGCAAGCGUUGUCCGGAAUUAUUGGGCGUAAAGAGCUCGUAGGCGGUUUGUCGCGUCUGCUGUGAAAACUCAGGGCUUAACCCUGAGCCUGCAGUGGGUACGGGCAGACUAGAGGUGUGGUAGGGGAGACUGGAAUUCCUGGUGUAGCGGUGAAAUGCGCAGAUAUCAGGAGGAACACCGGUGGCGAAGGCGGG